AGUGAACGCUGGCGGUAGGCCUAACACAUGCGAGUCGAACGGCAGCACAGUAAGAGCUUGCUCUUACGGGUGGCGAGUGGCGGACGGGUGAGGAAUACAUCGGAAUCUACUUUUUCGUGGGGGAUAACGUAGGGAAACUUACGCUAAUACCGCAUACGACCUACGGGUGAAAGUAGGGGAUCUUCGGACCUUGCGCGAUUGAAUGAGCCGAUGUCGGAUUAGCUAGUUGGCGGGGUAAAGGCCCACCAAGGCGACGAUCCGUAGCUGGUCUGAGAGGAUGAUCAGCCACAUUGGAACUGAGACACGGUCCAGACUCCUACGGGAGGCAGCAGUGGGGAAUAUUGGACAAUGGGCGCAAGCCUGAUCCAGCCAUACCGCGUGGGUGAAGAAGGCCUUCGGGUUGUAAAGCCCUUUUGUUGGGAAAGAAAAGCAGCAGGUUAAUACCCCGCUGUUCUGACGGUACCCAAAGAAUAAGCACCGGCUAACUUCGUG
rnacentral:rRNA from 1 species